rnacentral:rRNA from 1 species
GAUGAACGCUGGCGGCGUGCCUAAUACAUGCAAGUAGAACGCUGAAGGAAGGAGCUUGCUCUUUCCGGAUGAGUUGCGAACGGGUGAGUAACGCGUAGGUAACCUGCCUGGUAGCGGGGGAUAACUAUUGGAAACGAUAGCUAAUACCGCAUAACAGUAGAUGUUGCAUGAUAUCUACUUAAAAGGUGCAAUUGCACCACUACCAGAUGGACCUGCGUUGUAUUAGCUAGUUGGUGAGGUAACGGCUCACCAAGGCGACGAUACAUAGCCGACCUGAGAGGGUGAUCGGCCACACUGGGACUGAGACACGGCCCAGACUCCUACGGGAGGCAGCAGUAGGGAAUCUUCGGCAAUGGACGGAAGUCUGACCGAGCAACGCCGCGUGAGUGAAGAAGGUUUUCGGAUCGUAAAGCUCUGUUGUAGGAGAAGAACGAGUGUGAGAGUGGAAAGUUCACACUGUGGCGGUAUCUUACCAGAAAGGGACGGCUAACUACGUG